GGAACGUUCUGCAUGCUACUCGAGUCAUAGAUACUUGACUCUAUGCCUUUGUCAAAGUCCGUAGAACUGUACACCACAAAGAGUGCACGUAGCAUUGAGCGAAGAAGAUUUAUGGAUUUUAAUUCCAUUUAGCCAUUUUACUGGAAUUUUGGGAAAUAAGUGGACACAAUGCCACUUUUAUCUGCUAUGUUUGCUUGAAGACAACACCAUGCUAUUUUACUGGGCCUCCAUUUUCUCCUCCUUAAUGUGGGGGUUAAUGGCACUAUGGUGAAAUGAACUCAGGACCACAGCCAGGUGUGGAGGAGACAGGACAAGAUGAGAAGGUAAACGUACCUAGUUUGGAUUCCCGGCUCCACUGCAUACUGCCUAGGAAUAAAGAAGGAGUUAGGUAAAUAAUUAUCCUCUUUCUUAUGGGAACAAAGCAUCUGUCUCCCAGAGAGUCCACCCACUGUCCAUUCUUCCACCCAAAGGAGCCAGCAGAGCAAGGAUGAGUCCCUUUCGCUCAUAGAAUGUGGGUGGAAAACUACACAAGUCUUCAGUCCAACCCCCAGCACCCCAGGGGAGUACUGGUACUCAUGCUCUGGAUACCCUGUGCCUCCAGACUCCAUCACACUCCAGCCUUGAGGAGUGUGGGCAGCCACAGCCCACCAUGCUCUUAGACCCAGUUUGCACUCAUGUACUUAGAAGACUGGCACUGAAGAGACCAAUCAUCUCCAACAAAUCUCUAUGAUCACAACAUAAAAUGUAGUUCCUGGAGUUGCUGCCAGGCAUAGUGACGCUUGUGAACUGGGAGGUGUGAAGAUCCACAUGGAGCUUCCAAGGAAAGCUGAGGGUCACAGAAGUGAAGUCAUUUGCCUGUGUUGACAAAGCUGGUCAUGACAGAGUUUGGAUGGGAAUGCAGAGCUUCUUGAUUCAAAAGCCCAUGCUUUGUCUACUGCUUCAGACUUUAGACCAGUGCUGUCCAAUAGAAAUAGAAGGCAAGCCACAAAUAUGAAGCAAAUGUGUC